AUGCAACAGAAGCUUUUAUGGCAUUCCAAGUGCGUCUCUGCAUUCCUUAAGAAAUUGUUGAUGAUGUUCAUACUGACAUCUGCGGCCAAUUGUUUGAAAGGUACGAAAAUUAUUCUGAACUACAUUCAGAAAGCAAAAGCAGCUGGGAACUGCAUUGAACAGGCAAAAGAAUUGAAGAAGUUAAUUUCCUCCUUGCAGAGACCCAGGGAGCAAAUAGCGGAUGCAGAGGCUCUACUGGACAUUACAACCACCUUGGUAAAAUCUGUGAGGUCCCAGUCAGGUGAAGGAAUCACACCUUCUGAUUUCGUAACAGCAUUGCUGAAGAAAUUUGGGCAGCAAGCAACCCUUGAUUCUGAGCCUGGCUCAUUGCGCUAG
rnacentral:rRNA from 1 species